CACAGUAUAGCUUAAUAGGUAGAGUACUCAGCCAGUAUCUGGGCAGUGUGGGUUCAAGUCCCAUAGCUGUCU
rnacentral:tRNA from 1 species